rnacentral:rRNA from 1 species
CACUCCUACGGGAGGCAGCAGUGGGGAAUAUUGGACAAUGGGCGCAAGCCUGAUCCAGCCAUGCCGCGUGAGUGAUGAAGGCCCUAGGGUUGUAAAGCUCUUUCACCGGUGAAGAUAAUGACGGUAACCGGAGAAGAAGCCCCGACUAACUUCGUGCCAGCAGCCGCGGUAAUACGAAGGGGGCUAGCGUUGUUCGGAUUUACUGGGCGUAAAGCGCACGUAGGCGGACUAUUAAGUCAGGGGUGAAAUCCCGGGGCUCAACCCCGGAACUGCCUUUGAUACUGGUAGUCUUGAGUUCGAGAGAGGUGAGUGGAAUUCCGAGUGUAGAGGUGAAAUUCGUAGAUAUUCGGAGGAACACCAGUGGCGAAGGCGGCUCACUGGCUCGAUACUGACGCUGAGGUGCGAAAGCGUGGGGAGCAAACAGGAUUAGAAACCCGAGUAGUCCCA